rnacentral:SRP_RNA from 1 species
GCUGGGCAUGGUGGCAUGUGCCUGUAAUCCCAGCUACUUGGGAGGCUGAGGCAGGAGAAUCACUUGAACCAGGGAGUCGGAGGUUGCAGUGAGGUGCCGAGAUGGCACCACUGCACUCCAGCCUGGUGACAGAGUGAGACUCUGCCUCAA